GACAGCAGUAGCCGCGGGAAUACGAAGGGGGCUGGCGUUGCUCGGAUUUACUGGGCGUAAAGGGCGCGUAGGCGGACAGUUUAGUUGGGGGUGAAAGCCCGGGGCUCAACCUCGGAAUUGCCUUCAAUACUGGCUGUCUUGAGUACGGGAGAGGUGAGUGGAACUCCGAGUGUAGAGGUGAAAUUCGUAGAUAUUCGCAAGAACACCAGUGGCGAAGGCGGCUCACUGGCCCGGAACUGACGCUGAGGCGCGAAAGCGUGGGGAGCAAACAGGAUUAGAUACCCCGGUAGUCCCUGUCUCUUAUAC
rnacentral:rRNA from 1 species